AAACCACAUUGCCGUAACUUUGACCUCAAAACGACUCCGUUUCUACCCUGUCUGUCAAGGCCCCAAGGACAAUCCACAACUUUUUCUCUCUCUCUCUCUAGAAUCAGGAGAGAUCGAGCAGCUUGGCGAACGACCCCUUCCUCUCAUCAUCAUCAUCAAUGGCAUUGGUCAGAGCUUGAAGAUUUUGUUGUAUGUAUUUGGUGAAGUUUAACGAAACUAGAACCUAAAAGAUAGCUUUCUUAAAGUUGCAAUGAUGAGAAGGUUAUUCCCUUUAACCGUUUAGGGUUAGUUUGUAUAUACUGCAAAUGUGGAAUUCCUCUUAGUCUCAACUAUAACUUAAAAGUGGAAAAUGACAGCUUCUUUGUUGAGAUUGAUGGUUUCAUGACCACAAUUGUUAGGAAAUUGAGCUUUCCAUUUCUUAAAUGUGGUAGGUCAACUAAAAAGAUUUUAGGGGUUUUGCUAAAGAGGUGUAGAAAUUUUGUUUUUUGAUAUUAUUGAGAGGGCUUCAGUGGAAGCAAAGAGAUUGGCAUUUGAUGGAUCACAUAGAUUCAAGAGGUGGUGAUUUGGAUGUUGAUUUGGAAAGUGGGGGUACUACAAGUGAAGAAGAUGGAAAAUAUGCAUACAAAUUGUUGGAUAGGCCGUGGAGUGAGCUUGCAGAAUUAGAUGGAUCUAUAAAGGGUAGAGAUGGUUCGGGUUCAUACAACAAAGUGUUGAAUUCUAGUGAGGUUUUGGUUGAAGAUGAGGAAAUGAUGUCAAACAAGUUGGGGCCGGACGUGGUAAAUCUUGUGGAUAAGAAAAUGGAGAAGGACAACAAGAGGAAGAAGACCAGCUCGAAAAUUCCUUCUAAACCACCCCGGCCUCCCAGAGGUCCAUCGUUGGAUGCUGCUGAUAUUAAGCUGGUUAGAGAAUUCUCUGAGCUUGCUGCAUUAAAGCGGAAAAGGAUUGAACGAAUGAAAUCCUUGAGGAAAAAGAAAGAAGACAAGCCAUCACCACUUAACAGCAAUCUUUUUGCAAUGAUUGUCACUCUUCUCUUCUGCUUUGUGAUAAUAUUUCAAGGUCUUUUGGGUUCUCGUGUAUGAUGCCAAGAAGAGAUAUGCUCUAUCAGCAAAUUGCAUUGAGUAUAUUUCUGUACAACCUCGGAUGUGCUUUAGAAAUUCAUCAAGUGCCAUGAAUCUUUAGAGGCUGUAUGUAUAGUAAAGGGCAUUUGUGACUGAAGUCUGUACACUUCAAGAACCUUUCUGCAAAUGAAACCAUUGAACCUGGUUCUGAUUGUCCAUGUAUUUAAUGUCACAUUUUUCAUUUUUACAAUUAGCAAUGAGGGUUUGACUUGUACAAUGUGGAGUUCGAUUGUUUCAGUUUGAUGCACUUUUUUUCUUCUUUUUUUUUGUAAUCUAGAACAGGUAUCUGGAUCUGGACCACAGGAAAGUUUUGAGAGUUGCAGGAAGGAAAUUAUUGGAAUUAGUCACUAGUUGUUGUAGUUGGAGCUCAAGGCGUCAUUGCGGCUUGUUUUCAUUUUAAGGGUUACCUAUGCAUAGUCUAGUUUCUGUAUAAUCCCUAUUUUGGUUGAAAACAGGGCUUGAAUCAUGAAAAUGAUGGUGUGUUCAAUUAUCUGAUCUGAUGUUGUGUAAAAUUAUGAAGAGCUUAGAACAUGGUUCACAGAACUUGCUCAACCCGUAUGUUUGCACUUUAUGUAUCUCUUUGAUGGAUGUGGCUGUGCAUAAGCAGUAAAUUUUGUGCGUGUCCA